rnacentral:rRNA from 1 species
GGGCCCGCACAAGCGGUGGAGCAUGUGGUUUAAAUUCGAUGCAACGCGAAGAACCUUACCAGGGCUUGACAUACUACGAAUCUUUUUGAGAAAAAAGAGUGCCUUCGGGAAUGUAGAUACAGGUGGUGCAUGGCUGUCGUCAGCUCGUGUCGUGAGAUGUUGGGUUAAGUCCCGCAACGAGCGCAACCCUUAUUUUUAGUUACCAAUUCGUUGGGUUCUCUAGAAAGACUGCCGGUGACAAACCGGAGGAAGGUGAGGAUGACGUCAAGUCAGCAUGCCCCUUAUGUCCUGGGCUACACACGUGCUACAAUGGUUAAGACAAAGAGUCGCGAGCUCGCAAGAGUCAGCU